UUUAUGCAAAAACGCUGAUAAACUCGAUUAAUUUGAGUUGUCCUAACUUAGAAAAACUAAGUAAGCUGGAAGUUUUGCUUCUCUGGGCGGAAGGAUGAAAGAUGUGUUUUGAAAAUGCCACGUGACUACCGUCCUCCUCCCUCGCGGAUCAGUCCGCAUGUUCACGGUGCCAGCAUUUGUUAUGGAAUAUGUUGAGCAAACCCGGAGAAGCGUCAGCUCAAGAGACUAUUGUUGUCAUUACUUUGGAUCUUUACCUGAUACACUGACUUGGCUCGGGACCAGCACUCCUGUUGUUGGACAGAAAGACAUCAACUCAGUGACUUGAGAUAUGACUGCACUAUGCUGUUGCUGUGACUCCAGUUAAUUCUACAAGACAUGCUGUGUAAGUAAACAAACAACAACAGUUUGGUCUGCAUUUCUUCAAACUUAGUUUAGAGGGUCUACACUGUAUAUAGUGAAGUCUGCAAGUUUUCUAACAGCAAAAUUUGUUUUGUGCCCAAAUCAUUUUGCACAUCAUUAGAAUGAAAGUUAUUGCCCAUGUUUGCAUAGCCCUUUUUAAAAUGAUGCUUUCAUGACAUUAUUGUGUGUUGGGUGGUGGUCAGGGCUAUCCAGACUGACAAUUGGGACAUUGAAUGUCACCUCUCCGGUGGGGAGGGAGCCUGAGAUCGUCUAAAUUUGAGUCUGUUUUAUACCAAAUGCAGAAAAAAAAUGUUUUAAGAAAGCAAUUAAGUUCAUGUUCCAAAAAUAUGAUUGUUUGCUUGCAGGACAACAGGAGAGAUGAGUCCUCCGUCACAGAUGGUGUGGUCAGUGAAGAUGGUCGCCUGCAGGUUCAAGCUCAUUGCAUCUCCAACCCACAUCCACUGCCACUGUACUUAAGGGAAGUUAAAGACUUUCUUCUGCACUUACAUUUGGAUCACCUCGAUCCAUGACAGUCAUUCAGGCAGUAAUGCCUGGACUGGAAACAAGCCAUCCUUAAAAUAUUACAACAUUCCAGCUCCUGUGUUGGAAUGAAAAACAAAUGUGUUGUUUAAAUUAGAGACUGCACUUGUGACAGAACAACAAAUAUUUUAUUUUGAUUAUAUAAGUGAGUACAAAAACUUGUGGUAGGCCUAAACUUAUUUUCAGAAUAAUUACAUCUGAGACUUUGUUUCAUUGUAAGAUUAUAACAGCGAUGGCAACAUAAUUGUUUGUUGUUCAGCAGAACAGUGUCCAGUAUGUUGGCUGUUGUACUUUGUUGUGUUUGAAAAUAAAAGUUGGGCUCAUUUUAACAUCAUUACAAAAAUUGUUGUUAAUUAUUUUUAAUCAUAUUCAGGUUACCACAAAUUGUUUUUUCAUUUAGUUGAACUUGAAAUGUUUGUCAG